rnacentral:lncRNA from 1 species
AUGGGUUCAAAAUCUGACAAAGCACUGGUCAAGAAAAAAGAGAAUUACCCAAGUAUACAAAAUAGCAAACAUUGUCUGGGCCCAGAACAUCUGAAAGCUUUGUCCUUGGCUGUAACAUUAGAACAAGAGCAGCUGCAGGAACAGAAUCUCAUAAAUAUCAGUUCAGGGAGAGCAGUCUACAAAGAGGACGAAGGCAUAACUCAGAAAGAAGAACAAAAGCCUGAGAGACCUGAACAUCCUAACACUUUAUACAGGGAACAAACUUAUAAAAAGGAAAAGGAAAAAGGCCAAGAUCACAUGAGCUCAGAAUCUACCAGUAUUCCUUCUAUAGAAGGACAGCAGUAUUUGGGACCAGAAGCCCCGAACGCUUCAUUCUUGAAUGCAAUCUAUGACAAAAAGCAACAGAAAAGACAGAAGGACGAGAGCUUUGAGCCUGACAAUGCACCUUACAAAAAAACCCACGAGGUACCGAGUAUGGAACAGCAACAGUCCAUGAGACUUGAAUACUUUGAUGUUUUGUCUUUGGGAGUAACCUGUAAAAAAAACCAAGAAGAACAACAAGACUACAAGAGUUCAAAGUCUCAGAAUGCACUGUCUAAUGAAGAACAGGACUUCUCUGAUCCACCAAAGGAGGAAGUGGAUCAAGGUACAGAAGCAGAAAACCUGAGCACUUUCUCCCUAAGUUUAAUUUCUGAAACUCAAAACCAAGAACAAGAUCACAUGAGCUCCGAGUCUCAGGACAUGCAUGUUGAGGAGGAGUUUAACUAUGAAAGCAUGUCAAACAUGACAGUGCAAUGUAUGGAACAAGAACUGAACAUUUUGCCUGUGGAAGUAAUCUAUGAAACAGAGCAGCAAGGACAGAACCAGGGGAGUUUUGAGUUGGAGGAAGCAUUCUGCAAAGAGAAGCAGAACUACCAUUGUGUCYCACACAGAGAGGCACAGCAACCUGUGCAACCUGGAUACCUCAGCAGUUUGUCUGAAGAAGUAACUUUUGAAAAAGAACAAAAACUAGAAGGACAAGAUCUUGUGAGCUCUGAAUUUCUCCAAAAGGUACCAAAUGUGGAGGAGCCCCAGGCAGCAGGAGCAGAACACCACAAUACAUCGUCCCUAAUAAGAACCUGUGAGAAUGAGAUGCAGGUAACAAAAGACUAUUCAAACAGUAAAAGCCUAGUAGACUGCAAGGAACACAAGCAGGAAAGACAAGAUUACUCAGGCAAAAUGUUCCUUUUAUCAUCAUCUGAUGAAGAAAUGGAACAGCAAGGUGAGUACAAUGACCUUAUCAUAAUGUCUCAGGAGGUAUGUGAAGAGGAAAAAGAUCUGCAGAAGAUCGUCUCCCAGCGUGAAUUGUGUAGAAGAACAACAGAAGAGUCAGGAGCCUUUAAACAGAAUGCACUUGUGGGUGUCUCAAGACACAAAGGAGGAACAAGAGGAACAAAAUCUGCUGCAUAUACUCUUGGAGCAGAAAAAUGA